AGAUUAAGUUAUUAAGGGCGCACGGUGGAUGCCUUGGCACUAGAAGCCGAUGAAGGACGUUACUAACGACGAUAUGCUUUGGGGAGCUGUAAGUAAGCUGAGAUCCAGAG
rnacentral:rRNA from 1 species